rnacentral:tRNA from 1 species
GGAGGGGUGGCAGAGUGGUCGAAUGCACCGGUCUUGAAAACCGGAGUCCGGUAACCCUGGACCGCGGGUUCGAAUCCCGCCCCCUCCGC